rnacentral:tRNA from 1 species
GCCUGGGUGGCUCAGUCGGUUAAGCGUCUGACUUCGGCUCAGGGCAUGAUCUCACGGUCUGUGAGUUCGAGCCCCGCGUCAGGCU